rnacentral:lncRNA from 10 species
CAUUGUCCUUCCUUCCAACCAGGUGAGUCAUCUACGACAGAGGUUGGCAAACUAUAGCCUGUGGGACAAAUUUGGCCCACUGCCUGCUUUUGUUAAUAAAGCUUUAUUGUAACACCCAUUUGUUUACAUAUCAUCUAUGGCUGCUUUAUGUUAUGGUGGCAGGAUUAAGUAGCUGUGGCAAAAAACAUAUGGCCUGCAAAGCCUAAAAUAUUUGCCAUCUGGGACAUUACAGAAAAAGUUUGUUGAGUCCUAGUCUAGUAUUAUAGCAAGGGAAGGUGUAGGGAGGAAAGAGCUCUUGCCAAAGAAGGGCAUUGCUGCUGAUUACUGAUGGAAUGAUGGAAUGGUAAACUCACUCAUUGUUUACAGACAGACUCUCAGACCAAAGGGUAUGCACUUCAUUUAACAAUGAUAAAGCUAUAAAGAUCAACACAGGCGGCAUCUCAGAAAUAAUGCUGAGUGAAAGAUAACGUAUGGAGGAACACACACGGUAUGAUUUGACUUAUUAAAAAUGCAAAACUAAAUGAUGUACUGUUUAUGCAUACUAACAGAUGAGGUAAAAUAAUAAAGAAAAGGGAACAAAUAACACAAAAUUCUGGCUCUGACUCUGAUGUGAGGGGUCAGAAGAAAAUCCCUAGAAAAAGUGGCGCCAACCUUAUCUGAGGACUUUAUGAGCAAACUUCACCCUGAGAAAAAGUCACAGGAGAGUGUUCUGGCGAAAGUCCAGUGAUGACACAGAUUGCAAGGUUUUCAAUUGCUCCUUCUCUAAAGUAAACAAUCUCCUAUCAUACGUCUGCUUUAUAAAAAUAGGUUUUAAUCUCAGACUCAUGUUAAAUAAGCAUUUCUGUCUGUGGGAAAAUCACUUAAAAAACACAUUUUCCUGGUGGCAAGAAUAAACAUGGAGGUAGAUAAUGAUACAAAGAAAAUAAAUCACGGAACAGAGCUGCCUUUUGGUUUCAGCUGGGAGCAUCACAGGGAAGCCAGUGUGCCCUGACAGUGCACGGUUAGGGGUUUAGAAACCCAAGGCAGGGGAGGUAGGAAGCCAGCCCUGGGGUCCCUGGAUGUGGCACCAGGAGUUGGUGCUUCUCUUUCCUCCUCAAGAAGUUGGCUUCUCUGGAAAGUGGGGGGAAGAGAGUGACUCUAGGUUAUCAUUCAUUAUUCACCAUUCCCCUUUUGGGCUCACUGGAGGCUGUGGGUUAUCUUAUCAAGGGAAUUCCACCUGAGCAGCGGGGGUGACGAAAGCCUCAGUGGACUGAGGCAACACAGGGUAAAGACCAGACCCCUUAAGUCUCCACGUCGCUCUGAGGCCUGCCCCGCUCUGGUCUACCUUUGCACAGCCCCCACAUGAUAGUCCCAUGUCCUCUGUGGAGAGUCACAUCCUGUCUGGCCAGGCUCCCUGGUGACAGGGGCUAAGACUCGGGGAAGGGACUUCAUCCUCAGAUGCUGGAGAAAGCAGCCAGAGAGUCACAGAGGCAGCCCAACCAUGGAGUCACAGGCAGGGGGCAGGUCUAAACCACACCAUCAACCCAGUGAUGAAAAGCAGGCACCAAGGCGGGCAGGUAUGAGGCAGGGAGGACGGGUCACCAAGGUGGGGCUGGGCUCCAGGAUGCUGGCUCCGGAAGUGGGCAGGAAUAUUGUAGCCAUCUCUGGGUGUGUUCUUGGCAGUCUACAGAAGUUUUAAAAUCGUAUGCUCUCAUGUCAGUGAAAAACUUAGUCUUAUAUUAAUACAAGGGUAUUCUCAAUCCCAAAGGCCACAUGUCACCAUGACUGGCUGCACAAAUGCAGGUCUAACAGGUAUGAAUAAAGUAGUAGGAGAAUCAAGAUCUCACAUGCGUACGGCAAACCCUACUGAGCUGCUUCCAAUCUCAAUGACAGCCAUAAAUGGACUAACUGCAUAUUUAAUUAUUACUUUAAAGUAAUGCCACAAAUCUAACUUUAUCUUCAGGAGACCAUAAAGCUUGAGUAUUCCAUGUCAGCCAAGCCUUAAAAUCACUGCCAUCUCAGAUGGCAAAAUUACGCAAAAAGGCAACAUGUAUACUGGCAUUACUCAAGUCAAAAUGCCAAAAUAGAUUAAAUAUUAAUCUGAAUCUGAAGCUACAUCUUUCUCCUAUUCAACCCAUCGUUGUUAAUAUUUUGGUUUUAUAGUUAUUUGGAAGUUACGAGAACUCAUGCAAAUUCCUUACAAGAUGAUUGUACACAUUAGGGCACUAGAGCCAGGCGGACUUGGGACCGGGGAAGUUCUGUUUGCUCCAUCUCUUAGUGAUAUACGGAAGGGAAGUGCUAGGAAGGGAAGAGCUGGGUAGAGGAGGGCAUGGUCCCUGGCUAGGGCUCCAUCCCCACAGACCUAGGUGAGGACGGGAGGCAGAGGUUGCAGUGAGCCAAGAUCGCGCCACUGCACUCCAGCCUGGUGACAGAGUGAGACUCCACCUCAAAAACAAAACAAAACAACAACAACAAACCCCAAGACCCUAGCAGGGAGGCACACAGGCAGCUGGACAUUGAGAGGAGCACAUCAGCAGAGGAACACACAGGCGGCUGGAUGUUGAGAGGAAUGCCCCAGCAGGCACCGGCAUGCACCAGCAGGCUGGCAGGCCAUCGACCAGCAGAAUGACAUGGAAUUUGGUGGGGCAGUCGGAGAAGAGCGAGGCUGCCGAGCAGCCUGACUCCAGGGAAAACCCAUCUCCCUUCUGGCUCCCGCAUCUGCUGACAACUACUUCCGCUCAAUAAAACC